GAUAUUUUAAAGACUAUUAGGAGUGACACAUCACUCAAUGAACAUUCCUAAAGGAACGGGAAGACGUGACCCGAGCGAGCGGUUGCCGUGGGCCAGGUCACGUGUGCGGAGGUCAUGCUGCUGUCACCUGAAAGUGGAGGGAGCACGGCUGCUCCCUGCUGAUGUCCCAGCAAGGGGUCAGGUGGAUGCUGACGGGGGUAUGAAGGUGCCUUAGAGACCGGAAGACAUGGUCAACAGGAUCCUCUCUGAAUGUUGGGCACAGGAGUUAGAAUCCUUGACUGUCUACCGCCUGUCCACAACUCCCUACUGGUGAUGUCCUCCCAUCCUGCAGUCUACACGGUUCCAGGCCUGGGUGGGGCCCAUAACGUGAACAAGACAGUCACGGUCCCUGCCCACAUGGAGCUCCCUGCCCGAGGAUGACAGGCCAUCCCACAGCAAGGGGAUUCUCCCCAGAACUGCCGCGGCAGGAGCGAUCCGAGGACCCGCUCAAGGAGCGCCAGGCUAGGAGUCGGG